rnacentral:rRNA from 1 species
UUCUGCUAUCACUCUUGGAUGGACCUGCGGUGCAUUAGCUAGUUGGGUAGGGUAACGGCCUACCAAGGCGAUGAUGCAUAGCCGAGUUGAGAGACUGAUCGGCACAUUGGGACUGAGACACGGCCCAAACUCCUACGGGAGGCAGCAGUAGGGGAAUUUUCCACAAUGGACGCAAGUCUGAUGGAGCAACGCCGCGUGAGUGAAGUAAGGGUUUCGGCUCGUAAAGCUCUGUUGUUGGUGAAGAAGGACAGGGGGUAGUAACUGACCUUUGUUUGACGGUAAUCAAUUAGAAAGUCACGGCUAACUACGUGCCAGCAGCCGCGGUAAAU